rnacentral:rRNA from 1 species
GACGAACGCUGGCGCCGUGCCUAAUACAUGCAAGUUGGGCGCUGAAGCUGGGUACUUGUGCCAACUUGCUGAGCAGCGCAAGGGUGAGUAACGCGUGGGGAAUCUGCCUUUGAGCGGGGGACAACAUUUGGCAACGAAUGCUAAUACCGCAUAAAAACUUUAAACACAAGUUUUAAGUUUGAAAGAUGCAAUUGCAUCACUCAAAGAUGGUCCCGCGUUGUAUUAGCUAGUUGGUGAGGUAAAGGCCCACCAAUGCGAGGGUACAUAGCCGGCCUGAGACGGGGAUCAGCCCCCUUGGGAAGGAGCCACGCCCCCAACCCCCAGGGGAGGCAGCAGGAGGGAAUCUUCGGCACGGGACGACAGUCUGACCGCGCACCGCCGCGUGAGUGCAGAAGGCUGUCGGAUCGGAAAACUCCGUUGGUAGAGAAGAACGUUGGUGAGCGUGGAAUGCUCACCAAGUGACGGUACCUACGCAGAAAGCGACGGCUAACUACGUG